rnacentral:rRNA from 1 species
UGGCGACAUUAGCGCUGUGGUACCACCCGAUCCCAUUCCGAACUCGGAAGUGAAACGCAGCUGCGCCGAUGGUAGUGUGCAUUUAGCAUGUGAGAGUAGGUCAUCGCCAGGUU